rnacentral:rRNA from 1 species
GUGGGGAAUAUUGGACAAUGGGCGCAAGCCUGAUCCAGCCAUGCCGCGUGUGUGAAGAAGGCCUUUUGGUUGUAAAGCACUUUAAGCGAGGAGGAGGCUACUUGGAUUAAUACUCUAGGAUAGUGGACGUUACUCGCAGAAUAAGCACCGGCUAACUCUGUGCCAGCAGCCGCGGUAAUACAGAGGGUGCGAGCGUUAAUCGGAUUUACUGGGCGUAAAGCGUGCGUAGGCGGCUUCUUAAGUCGGAUGUGAAAUCCCUGAGCUUAACUUAGGAAUUGCAUUCGAUACUGGGAAGGUAGAGUAUGGGAGAGGAUGGUAGAAUUCCAGGUGUAGCGGUGAAAUGCGUAGAGAUCUGGAGGAAUACCGAUGGCGAAGGCAGCCAUCUGGCCUAAUACUGACGCUGAGGUACGAAAGCAUGGGGAGCAAACAGGAUUAGAAACCCCGGUAGUCC